UGGGGAAUAUUGCGCAAUGGGCGAAAGCCUGACGCAGCGACGCCGCGUGAGGGACGAAGGUCUUCGGAUUGUAAACCUCUUUCAGCAGGGAUGAAGCGAAAGUGACAGUACCUGCAGAAGAAGCACCGGCUAACUACGUGCCAGCAGCCGCGGUAAUACGUAGGGUGCAAGCGUUGUCCGGAUUUAUUGGGCGUAAAGAGCUCGUAGGCGGUCUGUCGCGUCGGAUGUGAAAACCCAAUGGCUUAACCUUGGGCCUGCAUUCGAUACGGGCAGACUAGAGUGUGGUAGGGGAAACUGGAACUCCUGGUGUAGCGGUGGAAUGCGCAGAUAUCAGGAAGAACACCGAUGGCGAAGGCAGGUUUCUGGGCCAUAACUGACGCUGAGGAGCGAAAGCGUGGGGAGCAAACA
rnacentral:rRNA from 1 species